AUCAGCUUUAUUAUAUUUCACAUAUGAGUAGAAUUUUGUGACUUAUUUUUCUGUUCCUACCAUGCUACCUAGAUCCUCCUAGUAACAGGUGUGUUUCCUAAUAGGGCUUCAGACUCUGACAGCUCCCACGUACCUCCCCAUGAUGGCCCCUGGAGUAUGCUGGGAAAACUGGGAAGCACUUGCUGCAACUCUGAUGGAAGUCUCAUUCAAGAGGAGGACUCCCUGGAGCCCAAUGUUGACAGCACGAGAGAGAUGGGGCAGUAUUAGAGCAGAAGGCAUCAGAUUGGAUCAGCAGGGCUGGUGUGAAGACUCUUAUGUGGAGGAGGUUUUACCAUUGUAUUACUCAGUUCUUAUUGAAGGAAUGGAAGCAGAGUAUGUGAACCUUAGGAAGGUGUAGUAGGAAGCUCAUUCAUCACAGGAGGACACAGGUGACUGCAACCUGCUUUCUUCAUUUCCUGCUGAGUUGGGGACAGUCCCUGCAAGAUGAGCAAAAAGAAGAGGGUAAACCAUCUUGACUAAGAUACCUCAGCUGCAGUGAAGAACCCAACACUUCAUUGUCCAAGCACUUAAGCCCAAGUACUUGAGUCCCAGUGUAGACCACUCCACUCACAUAGUAAGUGACAUAUCAAAUAGUCCUUGCCCCCAACUCAUCUGUAUCCCCAGCACUGAUCCCUAAACUCUCAGGAAAGGAUUCCCUCUUGUUGACUAAGUCACUCCCAUCAGUGACAAAUAUUUGUCAAAAUGAGAAAUAAAUUGACAAAUUUUCUCUUCAGCCAUUUUGUUCAGUUCACCAAAGUUUGGUUACUGCCUCACUUCACUCAAGAAAUCUCUGGUCCAACAAUCUCUCUGUCCAAAUGAGAGCUUCACCAAUGUGCUGAUUUCCCAAGCUGCCUGCAGCAUCAGACCUCACCCUCCUGCCUAUUCAGGCUCUUUUUGCUCUUGACUUUUACUGUUGCCAGUCUCUUCUCACCACAUAAGGUCAAGAGGCUGUAUCCUAACACAAGACCAUAAAGCACAGAUUCUGAACUUUCUCCCACUGUCCACGGACCACACUUCUUAAAACCUAAACUUCUUUCAUGAUACCCCUCUCUUCUCAUUAUAAACAAGAAUCUUAAGUCCAAAUUCUUGGCUCUGAAUCCUAGCCACCUUCACUCAGUCCCACUCACUUUCCUUCCAAACAUCCUUCCCCCAGCUUAGCUGUCACUGCCCCAGCUCCACACUUGGCUGUGCCCUGGACAAUGCUACUGCCUCUCUGACUUCUGCUAGCAUCCAACACAGGCCUCCACUCCCUUAAACCAUUCCCUACAAGGGAUUUCUCAUGUAUCUCAGAUCUUGUACUCACACUUUUGCACAUGAAUUUACUUCUUAGAAAGUAUUAUUUAAUAAAUUCAGUUGCUUUCUAAAGUAAUUGAGAUCAUUCUGAGUUUUAUUAUCUUUGUGUAAACUUGCAUAUAAUUGUUAUUGCCAUUUUGUGGCAUUUAAUGUAGUUUUAAGAUAAUAACUUCACAAUGCAUAUUUGCAAUUCAAAAUUUAGGAGGAAGGCAUUGUCAUAUUCACUUUUUACAUAAGACACAUGAGCUCAUGGGGUCUGCGCUAUGGUGCAAUAGGUUAAUCCUCUGCCUGCAGUGCUGGUGUCCCAUAUGGGCACUGGUUCUAGUCCUGGCUGCUCUUCUUCCAAUACAGCUCUCUGCUGUGGCCUGGGAAAUCAGUAGAAGAUGGUCCAAG